AACCAAGAUAAACCGAACUUCAUUUAUCAUAUAUACAAAUAAUGAAUCUGUUUAUAUCACUUGCUUUUAACACACACGUUUCAUCUAAUCUACACAUUGCUCGGCAAGAGUCUUCAACCUGACUUUUCUUAUGAACAAGCUAGACCUAACCUGAGUUUCCAAUGCUUCUCUUCAGUCAAAUACAUGUAUUGCCACACACCAUAAUUAAUAUUUCUUUUCAGCGGAUGAUCGUCACCUGUCAAACGCCAUAAUCAAAUUUCAUAUCCUACAAUCAUACUAACCACUAAAAAAAAUUUAUUCAUAUGUUUGGUUUGA
rnacentral:lncRNA from 1 species